rnacentral:rRNA from 1 species
AUUGAACGCUGGCGGAAUGCUUUACACAUGCAAGUCGAACGGUAGAGGGGGCAACCCCUCGAGAGUGGCGAACGGGUGAGUAAUAUAUCGGAACGUGCCCAGUCGUGGGGGAUAACGUAGCGAAAGUUACGCUAAUACCGCAUACGAUCUAAGGAUGAAAGCGGGGGAUCGCAAGACCUCGCGCGAUUGGAGCGGCCGAUAUCAGAUUAGGUAGUUGGUGAGGUAAAGGCGCACCAAGCCGACGAUCUGUAGCCGGUCUGAGAGGACGACCAGCCACACUGGGACUGAGACACGGCCCAGACUCCUACGGGAGGCAGCAGUGGGGAAUUUUGGACAAUGGGCGCAAGCCUGAUCCAGCAAUGCCGCGUGCAGGAUGAAGGCCUUCGGGUUGUAAACUGCUUUUGUACGGAACGAAACGGCGAGCUCUAAUACAGUUUGCUAAUGACGGUACCGUAAGAAUAAGCACCGGCUAACUACGUGCCAGCCGCCGCCGUAA